rnacentral:tRNA from 1 species
UCCCUGGUGGCUCAGAGGGUAAAGCGUCUGCCUGCAAUGCAGGAGACCAGGGUUCGAUCCCUGGGUUGGGAA